GUGUCAGCAGCCGCGGUAAUACGUAUGGUGCAAGCGUUAUCCGGAUUUACUGGGUGUAAAGGGAGCGUAGACGGAUGGGCAAGUCUGAUGUGAAAACCCGGGGCUCAACCCCGGGACUGCAUUGGAAACUGUUCAUCUAGAGUGCUGGAGAGGUAAGUGGAAUUCCUAGUGUAGCGGUGAAAUGCGUAGAUAUUAGGAGGAACACCAGUGGCGAAGGCGGCUUACUGGACAGUAACUGACGUUGAGGCUCGAAAGCGUGGGGAGCAAACAGGAUUAGAUACCCUGGUAGUCCACGCCGUAAACGAUGACUACUAGGUGUCGGGUGGCAAAGCCAUUCGGUGCCGCAGCAAACGCAAUAAGUAGUCCACCUGGGGAGUACGUUCGCAAGAAUGAA
rnacentral:rRNA from 1 species